rnacentral:rRNA from 1 species
CUACGGGUUGCAGCAGUGGGGAAUAUUGGACAAUGGGGGAAACCCUGAUCCAGCAAUGCCGCGUGUGUGAAGAAGGCCUGCGGGUUGUAAAGCACUUUCGGUUGGGAGGACUGCUUCUAGCACUAAUAUUGUUGGAAGUUGACGUUACCUUCAGAAGAAGCACCGGCUAACUCCGUGCCAGCAGCCGCGGUAAUACGGAGGGUGCAAGCGUUAAUCGGAAUUACUGGGCGUAAAGCGCGCGUAGGCGGCUAGAUCAGUCGGGUGUGAAAGCCCCGGGCUUAACCUGGGAACUGCAUCCGAUACUGUCUAGCUUGAGUACAGGAGAGGAGAGUGGAAUUCCACAUGUAGCGGGGAAAUGCGUAGAUAUGUGGAGGAACACCAAUGGCGAAGGCAGCUCUCUGGCCUGAUACUGACGCUGAAGUGCGAAAGCGUGGGGAGCAAACAGGAUUAGAUACCCGAGUAGUC